UCCCAAAUCAUGAAAUUGGCUUAAAAAUCAUAAGAUUAAAAAUAUUUUACUUAUCUUCUGAUUAACGUAGGAUACAUGUGGGACACAUUAUAUAGCUUGUUUCUGCAACAACGAUGGCUAGAAACUUACUUUGUUUUUCAAAAACGAAUGCUAACAUUCUUAUGAAAUAACAUGACUCCAAGAACUGGGGCUUUUAAAAAAACACCAAAUAUCAUGAGACCUGCAAACUGCAAGAGUUGGCAAGGCUGUAUUUGCACAGUGCCUAGCACAAAAGCACCUGUUUAAUGCUUCUAGUUGCUAUCAUAAUACAAAAAACAAUAAUAAUUGCCUAAGAAAUUGUUACUAGAUGGAAGGAGUGCAAUGCCUUGGACCAUUUCCCCCGGGGAGUGGCCUACACAAAGACCAUUACUGCUGUUAUAACAUGAAAAUUGAUUUAUAUGAAUAUGUAGAAUGUUUUACACCUACUUUGCCCUCGUGUCAAUGAUUAUACUAGGUGCAGAGCAACCCAGGAAGUGUACAGGAACUUCAGACCAUUCAGAAGGGGAGAUUCUCAGCUUCUUAAUGGUAUAGCACUUGGGUCUAGUCCUGGAAGAUCCCAAGAUACAGCUGCAGAGGAACAUUCUGAAAAUAUAGUCACUCAAACGAGGGAAGGAAAUAAAGAGCCUGGUGUGCUUUCUGGUUUGUUGGUUAACAAAAAUGAGAGGGAAUAAUUAUUAACAACCUCUAGCAUAACAGUAAGAAGCUUCUAUUACUUAAGAUUUUAAGGUAUUAAAAAUGCUUACAAUUAUUCUUUUAUUAGCAACACUUUCUGCCCAGAAUCCUGUUUUAACAGAAAUGAAUAUAAAAUUAAGCAUGCUAUUCCAAUUCUGUUUUGCACUCUAUUUUCUCCGAGUCUUUAAGCAUUCCCUCUGCUUCCCACCCUUAGUGCCAUAUGAUGUUGAAAUGUGUAAGUAUGCUUUUUGUAGUUCUGUAAUAAAAAAGUUUCAGCUAAGUUUAUAGUCAGACAUUAUUGUAGAUUUUUUUAAAGUAGAUUUUUUUAAAGUAGUUACAUUCUAGUGUUUUAAAAUGCAGUUAGUUAGCUGACACUGAUCUACUAACGUGAACUGAAACCUGUCUACUAAGCUGACAAUCCAUUUCAGCAUUCAAAUUUCUCAGCUUGAAGCAUCAUUCUUGGCAGCUGUGGUUGGAAAUUACAUCCCAAGUACAGGAGUUUCUUGUUCCGCAGCUGAGCAACAAAAAGGAUGAAGAAUUUGACUCAACAAGACUACAUGCCCGUGAAACAGUCUGCUAGAAGUCAUGUCAACUGCAGCUAUUUAAAUUCAAUGGUUUAACAAAUGCUUUCUUCAAAUACAACCAGGGUUUGUACCCUCCCUUUUCGGUGUGGAUUAAUAUUUAAGAGGAAAGUCUAAAAUCAAUCUGGAACUGGAAAACUUAGGCACCAAACUGCAUCACAAAUCCAAAUAACUGUAACGCAAUGCCUGGACACUAAGUUAGGAUAAAGUUCCUUGAGGCAAAUAUCAACUCAUCAUGGCUCACAUCAAACGACUGUUUUGUGGUUCUCUGUUAUUCUGUUUGACACUAUGUAUGCUGCUCCUUUUUCAUUCUGGAAAGGGUGCAGUUUUAGUUAACUACUUAAUAUGUAAAAAAUAAUAUCAGGUACCACUGUGCUAUAAAAAUAAUAAGUUUAAUGUUUCUUCUGUAUUGAUUUACCUGUCCCAAGUAGUUGGCUUUAGUUAUAACAAUUUGGUCCAAUUAUUUGAAAUUUGCUUCUUUGCUUUUUUU